CAAUAACGUAUAUUAAAGUUGUUGCGGUUAAAAAGCUCGUAGUUGGAUUUCUGUUGAAAGUGGCCGGUCCCUACUCUGUAGGCGUAUCUGGUUCGCUUUUGGCAUCCUCCUGUGGAACGUUUCUGUUCUUCAUUGAAUGGGCGGGAGCCAGGACUUUUACUUUGAGGAAAUUCGAGUGUUUACGGCAGGCAAUCGCCCUGAAGAUAUUAGCAUGGAAUAAUAAUAUAGGACCUUGGUUCUAUUUUGUUGGUUUCUAGGACCGAGGUAAUGAUUAAUAGGGAUAUUUGGGGCAUUGCGUAUUAAUACCGGUCAGAGGUGGAAUUCUUGGAUUCGGUUACGACGAACUACUGCGAAAGCAUUUGUCAAGAAUGUUUUCAUUGAUCAAGAACGAAAGUUAGGGGAUCGAAGACGAUCAGAUACCA
rnacentral:rRNA from 1 species